rnacentral:rRNA from 1 species
UAUUCUCUACGGGGCGCAGCAGUGAGGAAUAUUGGUCAAUGGGCGGGAGCUGAACCAGCCAAGUCGCGUGAGGGAAGACGGUCCUAUGGAUUGUAAACCUCUUUAGGCGGGGAGCAAUGCCGGGCACGCGUGCCCGGAGGGAGAGGACCCGCAGAAUAAGCAUCGGCUAACUCCGGGCCAGCAGCCGCGGUAAUACGGAGGAUGCGAGGGUUAUCCGGAUUUAUUGGGUUUAAAGGGUGCGUAGGCGGAUUUUUAAGUCAGCGGGAAAAUGUCCGGGCUCAACCCGGGCCGGCCGUUGAAACUGG